rnacentral:lncRNA from 1 species
CAAAUGGAAGCUGCUUCACAGCAGGACACAUAGGUUCACAGUAACAAGAGCAAAAUUUGUAAUGACUUGAUUUCUCUUAAAAAAAAUCUUUGCAGUGAUACUGGAGCUAAACACAAGUGCAGGAAUUUAAAUUGGAAUCGGGAAUAGCUCGGAGGAUGGAAAAGCAAUUCUGGCAUCUAAGAACUCAGAGUGAAACAGGAAAUUGGACCCAUGAGAGGAGGCUUUCUGGAGGAAAUGAUAUUCAACCUGAGAACUAGAAAUCAAAUGCAUUUUGGAUCUUCAUACGGAAUUACAUGUUGGAAUGGAAAGAAAUUAAACCCAAAGGCCUGGGUCUGCCAUUGUGUGACCUGAAAUACGCAUUUGACCGUUCUGUGUCUUUCCUUGUGUGUGAAAUCGGUUUCAGAUUAAUGAAGCAUCGAUGCACUAUGUAUCCUGUUUGGCCCUAUUUUCUCCCUAAGAUUCUGCACAUUCCUGCCCAUGGGGCAGCAUGGAUAGAAUCUGCCACUGUGAUCAACAGCUAUUUAUGAGAUAAAUUUGAAUUCCACAGCCUCGCUCUUCCUGGAUGAGUACCACGGGUGAGACUGUGGGAGGCUCAAUUUCAGAAUGCAUUUUAACAAAAUUACUGUCAUCAGUAAGUUCUGGAUCUUACAUAAGGCUUCAGUGACUCCCACCAUCAGUCUACUGAUUCGAAGGUUAAUCUCAUCCAGAAACAUCCUCACAGACACACUCAGAAACAAUGUUUACAAUGGUCUGAAUGUUCAUGUCCCUCCAAAAUUCAUACAUUGAAUUCCUAACCCCCAAGGAGAUGGUAUUAGGAAGCGGGGCCUUUGGGAGGUGAUUAGGUCAUGAAGGCAGAGCCCUCAUGGAUGAGGUUAGCGCCCUUAUGAAGGAGACCCCGGAGAGCUGCCUUGCCUUUUCUGCCGUGGGAGGUCACAGUGAGAAGUAAAGGACGGCCAUCUAGGAAGCAGCUCUUCAACAGACACUGAAUCUGCUGGCACCUUGAUCUUCCAGGCUCCAGAACUGUGAGAAAGAAAUUUGGGUUGUUUAUAAGUCACUCAGUUUAUGGUAUUUCUUUUUUAUAGCAGCCCAAAUGGACUAAGACAAUGUAUAACCAAAUAUCCAGACACCCCCUGACCCAGUCAAGUUGUUACAUAAAAUUAACCACCCAAACUAUUGUGGUUGUUUUUGUUGUGGUUAUAUUAUCUUCUUAUGUGGAGCUGAAAUCAAUGCAAGUAGAUCAAUCAGAUCAACAUUGAAAUAUAGACAAAUGUAAAUGGGUAAUAUGGAUAAUGUGUAUUUUACAUUUCUUAGGAGAACACACAUAUUAUUCAAAGAUUAAUCUGCUUGGCUGAAAAGAUAACUUCAACUACAUUUUAAGGACAUUUCUUCUCAUAGAUACACGUGUAGGUCAGGCACCAGACAACUUACGAAUAAUAAGUUGACUGACAAGACAGUAGACACAAAAUAGACCAAUGUAUACAAAUAUUAGGACCUUCUUCGAUUACUGUAAUUUUAAUGCAUCAAUUGGACAGCAGGCUUUUGAAGCUGCUAAAUUAAGGCAGAGUUCUUGCAACACAAGACACCUUUGCAUGUGAGGAGCACUUGCAAAACUUCACGGACAGUUUACUAAAAAAGACUGAAGGAAAUUCCUACAAACUAUUGGCAAAACUGUAAGUGCUGAGUUCACCUCUCCUCAAGCUGCCACUGUGAAUAUGUCACCUGCAGCUUUGUAACCUGGAGGACCCGGGCCUUGUGCCUGGGUCAGCCCCUGCCCACGUCCUCAGCUUUGUCUCCGCCUCCUCCCCUUUUCUCUCCUUCAUUGAUGCCGGACUUCUCUUAGUUCCAUCAGUUGGCCAUGCUCAUCCUCACCUUCAGGCUUCUGCACACGCUACUCCUUUCUAUGGGGAAUGGUCUUUCCUCACUCCUGGUCAAGCCCUUCUCAUCCUUCUCUUCUAGCUGAGGUAUCAUUUCCUCAAGGAGGGCUUCCAUGAUCCCCCAGAUGAGUUCUGACCCCUCUGAGAUAUGAUUCAGAGCAGAUAUUUUCCCCUCUCAUAGCACUAUCUCCCACUUAACUAAUUUUCUUACUAUAUUUUUUAGUAACUCUAUAUACCAAGAUCAUGUAAACUCCUGAGGAGAAGGGCCCACGUUUACUUUAUGUUCUCAGUUUUUAUCACAGGGCCUGACACAUGAUAGCACCUCACUAAAUACCACAUUUAAGUGAAUCUAAGAUGCAUUGAUU